AACGAACGCUGGCGGCAUGCCUAACACAUGCAAGUCGAGCGAACACACCGGGUCUUGUGGCGCACGAGGGCGUCGCCCGACGGAACCGUCCCUUAGGGUUGGAAUAACUAUCCGACUGGGGUACUAUUGGCGGAUAGUAGCUACUGCCGAAUGAUAUAUCGCAUUGGGUUGUACACGAGUUGCAUUAGCUUGUUGUUACGGUAAAAGACUCUUAAGGCGACGAUCCAUAACUGGGUUGAGAGGAAGAUCAGCCACACUGGGACUGAGACACGGCCCAGACUCCUACGGGAUGCAGCAGUGGGGAAUAUAGGACAACCGGCGAAAGCAUGAUCCAGCAAGGCCGCGAGAGUGAUGAAGGCCGUAGGGUUGUAAAGCGCUUUUAACCGGGAUGAUAAUGACAGUACCGGGAGAAUAAGCUCCGGCUAACUCCGUG
rnacentral:rRNA from 1 species